AUUGAACGCUGGCGGCAUGCCUUACACAUGCAAGUCGAACGGCAGCACGGGAGCAAUCCUGGUGGCGAGUGGCGAACGGGUGAGUAAUAUAUCGGAACGUGCCCAGUAAUGGGGGAUAGCCCGGCGAAAGCCGGAUUAAUACCGCAUACGACCUACGGGUGAAAGCGGGGGAUCGCAAGACCUCGCGUUAUUGGAGCGGCCGAUAUCAGAUUAGCUUGUUGGUGGGGUAAAAGCCUACCAAGGCGACGAUCUGUAGCUGGUCUGAGAGGACGACCAGCCACACUGGGACUGAGACACGGCCCAGACUCCUACGGGAGGCAGCAGUGGGGAAUUUUGGACAAUGGGCGCAAGCCUGAUCCAGCCAUGCCGCGUGCGGGAAGAAGGCCUUCGGGUUGUAAACCGCUUUUGUCAGGGAAGAAACGGUCUGAUCUAAUACGUUGGACUAAUGACGGUACCUGAAGAAUAAGCACCGGCUAACUACGUGCCAGCAGCCGCGGUAAUACGUAGGGUGCAAGCGUUAAUCGGAAUUACUGGGCGUAAAGCGUGCGCAGGCGGCUUUGCAAGACAGAUGUGAAAUCCCCGGGCUCAACCUGGGAACUGCAUUUGUGACUGCAU
rnacentral:rRNA from 1 species